GCGUUGGAAAACGAAGAACAACAGCGAAACAGGUGGUCGCCGCCAGAGGCAACCCAUAAACAGCAAGAAUAGCAAUGGCUCUAUCAACACCGCAGGAGUGCGAGCUGGAAGAGGAGGCAUUUGUGGAGCGUGUUGCAAGAGCGACAGCGAGAGCUGCAGGAGGAUGGUAUUAUGCACACUCCUCAUGUGCCCCAGUAUGUGAUCGUGUGCGCUCAUUCCUGCUCUUUCACGUAACCCCCUCAAGCAAAAAGGCGACAGUAACUCGUCUUCGCCCUUCCCAUCUCUUUUCGCUCUACCUAUCCACUGCGUGCGUGUGCCUAGGUGUGACCUCCCUCUCUCCCCUCCUUGCUGACUUGCCCGUAUUUUCCUUCUGCGUUUCUCUGUUGUCUUUAAGUGCGAGUUGACCGUGGCGUUGUUUUUCUUUGCCCUUUUUCCUUUGCUCCGUCGGAUGAGGCGGGGGUCGUGUAGCCGAUUUCCCGCCUGCUUUCUCAGCGUGUCGCCACUCUUUUUUUUUCUCCUUUUUUCAUGUGCCUGUGUGUUUCGACGUUUCCGCCCAUUCAUUUCGUCCACCAUGUUUCUUUGACUUGUUUGCUCUUCCAAAUCCCCUUCAUGCUCACUCGCGCCACACUUCUGCGCAUCUUUUCCACAUAUGAGGCGGCGCGCGCCUACCGAAACAACAAAAAGGAAUAGCAGCACGUGGCAUGAUGUUAAACUUGUCAGCCCGUUCCAGCACAAGCGUACUUCGCCGUCUCACGCGCACACACGCGUAUGCAUGUAUACCUGUGCACUCUAUAGCUCCAUGAUGGAUGUGGGCACCUGGACAUGCGCUGCGUGUCAUUUCCCCUAUUACUUCAGCCCGAAUCGACCAAUGACUCUUUUUGAAAAUUGUUUUAUUGUGCCAAGAGCUCAGAUCUUUGGACAUGUGCAUCCGUGUGCAUCUCUGUGCGUGCGUGUGUGUGCUCUGCGAACGCCGUAACACUCGCAAAGACAUUAUUACUUCUUUUUUUUCUCGCGCUGUUUUCCUUGCUGUUUUUGCUUGCCAUUCUUGUGCUUUUCGGUCUCUGUCGAACUUUCGGAUGAUGCCAG
rnacentral:misc_RNA from 1 species